AGUGAACGCUGGCGGUAGGCCUAACACAUGCAAGUCGAACGGCAGCACAGUAAGAGCUUGCUCUUACGGGUGGCGAGUGGCGGACGGGUGAUGAAUACCUCGGUAUUUACUUUUUCUUGGGUGAUAACGUAGGGACACUUACGCUAAUACCGCAUACGACCUACGGGUGAAAGCAUCGGAUCUUCGGACCUUGCGCGAUUCAAUGAGCCGAUGUCGGAUUAGCUAGUUGGCGGGGUAAAGGCCCACCAAGGCGACGAUCCGUAGCUGGUCUGAGAGGAUGAUCAGCCACACUGGAACUGAGACACGGUCCAGACUCCUACGGGAGGCAGCAGUGGGGAAUAUUGGACAAUGGGCGAAAGCCUGAUCCAGCCAUACCGCGUGGGUGAAGAAGGCCUUCGGGUUGUAAAGCACUUUUGUUGGGAAAGAAAAGCAGCAGGUUAAUACCCCGCUGUUCUGACGGUACCAAAAGAAUAAGCACCGGCUAACUUCGUG
rnacentral:rRNA from 1 species